CAGGCUUAACACAUGCAAGUCCCGUGGCAUCAGGAAGAAAGCUUGCUUUCUUUGCUGGCGACCGGCGCACGGGUGAGUAACACGUAUCCAACCUGCCCUUUACUCGGGGAUAGCCUUUCGAAAGAAAGAUUAAUACCCGAUAGCAUAAUGAUUCCGCAUGGUUUCAUUAUUAAAGGAUUCCGGUAGAGGAUGGGGAUGCGUUCCAUUAGGUUGUUGGUGAGGUAACGGCUCACCAAGCCUUCGAUGGAUAGGGGUUCUGAGAGGAAGGUCCCCCACAUUGGAACUGAGACACGGUCCAAACUCCUACGGGAGGCAGCAGUGGGGAAUAUUGGUCAAUGGGCGCUAGCCUGAACCAGCCAAGUAGCGUGAAGGAUGAAGGCUCUAUGGGUCGUAAACUUCUUUUAUAUAAGAAUAAAGUGCAGUAUGUAUACUGUUUUGUAUGUAUUAUAUGAAUAAGGAUCGGCUAACUCCGUGCCAGCAGCCGCGGUAAUACGGAGGAUCCGAGCGUUAUCCGGAUUUAUUGGGUUUAAAGGGAGCGUAGGUGGACUGGUAAGUCAGUUGUGAAAGUUUGCGGCUCAACCGUAAAAUUGCAGUUGAUACUGUCAGUCUUGAGUACAGUAGAGGUGGGCGGAAUUCGUGGUGUAGCGGUGAAAUGCUUAGAUAUCACGAAGAACUCCGAUUGCGAAGGCAGCUCACUGGACUGCAACUGACACUGAUGCUCGAAAGUGUGGGUAUCAAACAGGAUUAGAUACCCUGGUAGUCCACACAGUAAACGAUGAAUACUCGCUGUUUGCGAUAUACAGUAAGCGGCCAAGCGAAAGCAUUAAGUAUUCCACCUGGGGAGUACGCCGGCAACGGUGAAACUCAAAGGAAUUGACGGGGGCCCGCACAAGCGGAGGAACAUGUGGUUUAAUUCGAUGAUACGCGAGGAACCUUACCCGGGCUUAAAUUGCAGUGGAAUGAUGUGGAAACAUGUCAGUGAGCAAUCACCGCUGUGAAGGUGCUGCAUGGUUGUCGUCAGCUCGUGCCGUGAGGUGUCGGCUUAAGUGCCAUAACGAGCGCAACCCUUAUCUUUAGUUACUAACAGGUUAUGCUGAGGACUCUAGAGAGACUGCCGUCGUAAGAUGUGAGGAAGGUGGGGAUGACGUCAAAUCAGCACGGCCCUUACGUCCGGGGCUACACACGUGUUACAAUGGGGGGUACAGAAGGCAGCUAGCGGGUGACCGUAUGCUAAUCCCAAAAGCCUCUCUCAGUUCGGAUCGAAGUCUGCAACCCGACUUCGUGAAGCUGGAUUCGCUAGUAAUCGCGCAUCAGCCACGGCGCGGUGAAUACGUUCCCGGGCCUUGUACACACCGCCCGUCAAGCCAUGGGAGCCGGGGGUACCUGAAGUACGUAACCGCAAGGAUCGUCCUAGGGUAAAACUGGUGACUGGGGCUA
rnacentral:rRNA from 1 species